CAGUAGCCGCGGUAAUACGGAGGGUGCAAGCGUUAGUCGGAUUUACUGGGCGUAAAGGGCGCGUAGGUGGUUAUUUAAGUGAGAUGUGAAAGCCCCGGGCUUAACCUGGGAACUGCAUCUUACACUGGGUAACUGGAGUGCAGUAGAGGGUAGUGGAAUUUCCGGUGUAGCGGUGAAAUGCGUAGAUAUCGGAAGGAACACCAGUGGCGAAGGCGGCUACCUGGACUGAGACUGACACUGAGGCGCGAGAGCGUGGGGAGCAAACAGGAUUAGAUACCCGAGUAGUCCCUGUCUCUUAUAA
rnacentral:rRNA from 1 species